rnacentral:rRNA from 1 species
UACGUAGGGGGCAAGCGUUGUCCGGAUUUAUUGGGCGUAAAGAGCGUGUAGGCGGUCAGGUAGGUCCGUUGUGAAAACUCGAGGCUCAACCUCGAGACGCCGACGGAAACUAUCUGACUAGAGUCCGGAAGAGGAGAGUGGAAUUCCUGGUGUAGCGGUGAAAUGCGCAGAUAUCAGGAAGAACACCCGUGGCUAAGGCGGCUCUCUAGUACGGUACUGACGCUGAGACGCGAAAGCGUGGGGAGCGAACAGG